rnacentral:rRNA from 1 species
CAGUCGCCGCGGGAACACGUAGGGUGCGAGCGUUAAUCGGAGUUACUGGGCGUAAAGCGUGCGCAGGCGGUUGUGUAAGACAGGUGUGAAAUCCCCGGGCUUAACCUGGGAACUGCGCUUGUGACUGCACAGCUAGAGUAUGGCAGAGGGGGGUGGAAUUCCACGUGUAGCAGUGAAAUGCGUAGAGAUGUGGAGGAACACCGAUGGCGAAGGCAGCCCCCUGGGCCAAUACUGACGCUCAUGCACGAAAGCGUGGGGAGCAAACAGGAUUAGAUACCCCCGUAGUCCCUGUCUCUUAUAC